UCCUGGGUAGCUCAAAUGGUAAAGAAUCUGCCUGUAAUGCAGGAGACCUGGGUUCAACCCCUGGGUCGGGAA
rnacentral:tRNA from 1 species